CACGGAGUUAGCCGAUGCUUUUUUCUCCGGGUACUCUCAGCUGGGUCACACGUGACCCAGCUUGCUCCCCGGCAAAAGAGGUUUACAAUCCAUAGGACCGUCUUCCCUCACGCGACUUGGCUGGUUCAGGCUCGCGCCCAUUGACCAAUAUUCCUCACUGCUGCCUCCCGUAGGAGUCUGGUCCGUGUCUCAGUACCAGUGUGGGGGACCUUCCUCUCAGAACCCCUACGCAUCGUCGCCUCGGUGGGCCGUUACCCCGCCGACUAGCUAAUGCGCCGCAUGCCCAUCCCUGGCCGGAAUCGCUUCCUUUGAUCCUAACGGGAUGUCCCGUAAGGAUGUUACGCGGUAUUAGACCGGAUUUCUCCGGCUUAUCCCCCAGCCAGGGGCAGGUUGCAUACGUGUUACUCACCCGUGCGCCGGUCGCCGGCGGAUGAAGCAAGCUUCAUCCCCGCUGCCCCUCGACUUGCAUGUGUUAAGCCUGUCGCUAGCGUUCAUCCUGAGCCAGGAUCUAAA
rnacentral:rRNA from 1 species